GACGUAGGGCGCGAGCGUUGUCCGGAUUUAUUGGGCGUAAAGAGCUCGUAGGCGGCUUGUCGCGUCGACUGUGAAAACCCGUGGCUCAACCAUGUGGUCUGCAGUCGAUACGGGCAGGCUAGAAUUCGGUAGGGGAGACUGGAAUUCCUGGUGUAGCGGUGAAAUGCGCAGAUAUCAGGAAGAACACCUAUGGCGAAGGCAGCUCUCUGGGACGGUACUGACGCUGAGACGCGAAAGCGUGGGGAGCGAACAGG
rnacentral:rRNA from 1 species